AUGCACGCUGGCGGCGUGCCUAAUACAUGCCAGUCGCGCGAACAGACGAGGAGCUUGCUCCUCUGACGUUAGCGGCGGACGGGUGAGUAACACGUGGAUAACCUACCUAUAAGACUGGGAUAACUUCGGGAAACCGGAGCUAAUACCGGAUAAUAUAUUGAACCGCAUGGUUCAAUAGUGAAAGACGGUUUUGCUGUCACUUAUAGAUGGAUCCGCACCGCAUUAGCUAGUUGGUAAGGUAACGGCUUACCAAGGCAACGAUGCGUAGCCGACCUGAGAGGGUGAUCGGCCACACUGGAACUGAGACACGGUCCAGACUCCUACGGGAGGCAGCAGUAGGGAAUCUUCCGCAAUGGGCGAAAGCCUGACGGGGCAACGCCGCGUGAGUGAUGAAGGUCUUCGGAUCGUAAAACUCUGUUAUUAGGGAAGAACAAAUGUGUAAGUAACUAUGCACGUCUUGACGGUACCUAAUCAGAAAGCCACGGCUAACUACGUG
rnacentral:rRNA from 1 species